AGGACGAACGCUGGCGGCGCGCUUAAUACAUGCAAGUCGAGCGAGAACCGGACCUUCGGGUCCGGGGAAAGCGGCGAACGGGUGAGUAACACGUGGGUAAUCUGCCCUCGGUACUGGGAUAGCCCGGGGAAACCCGGAUUAAUACCGGAUAGCCUUUCGAGCUCUCGGGCUCGUUAGAAAAUGGUGGCUUCGGCUUCCGACUGAGGAUGAGCCCGCGGCGGAUUAGCUUGUUGGUGAGGUAAUGGCUCACCAAGGCUCCGAUCCGUAGCUGGUCUGAGAGGACGAUCAGCCACACUGGGACUGAGACACGGCCCAGACUCCUACGGGAGCAGCAGUAGGAUCUUGCGCAAUGGG
rnacentral:rRNA from 1 species